rnacentral:rRNA from 1 species
AAGUCUCGUUGGUGACAGCGGAGGGUCAUUACCGAGUUUACAACUCCCAAACCCAAUGUGAACGUUACCAAACUGUUGCCUCGGCGGGAUCUCUGCCCCGGGUGCGUCGCAGCCCCGGACCAAGGCGCCCGCCGGAGGACCAACCAAAACUCUUAUUGUAUACCCCCUCGCGGGUUUUUUUAUAAUCUGAGCCUUCUCGGCGCCUCUCGUAGGCGUUUCGAAAAUGAAUCAAAACUUUCAACAACGGAUCUCUUGGUUCUGGCAUCGAUGAAGAACGCAGCGAAAUGCGAUAAGUAAUGUGAAUUGCAGAAUUCAGUGAAUCAUCGAAUCUUUGAACGCACAUUGCGCCCGCCAGUAUUCUGGCGGGCAUGCCUGUCCGAGCGUCAUUUCAACCCUCGAACCCCUCCGGGGGGUCGGCGUUGGGGAUCGGCCCUGCCUUGGCGGUGGCCGUCUCCGAAAUACAGUGGCGGUCUCGCCGCAGCCUCUCCUGCGCAGUAGUUUGCACACUCGCAUCGGGAGCGCGGCGCGUCCACAGCCGUUAAACACCCAACUUCUGAAAUGUUGACCUCGGAUCAGGUAGGAAUACCCGCUGAACUUAAGCAUACUAA